UACGAAGGGGGCUAGCGUUGUUCGGAUUUACUGGGCGUAAAGCGCACGUAGGCGGUUUGUUAAGUCAGAGGUGAAAUCCCGGAGCUCAACUCCGGAACUGCCUUUGAUACUGGCAAGCUAGAGUCCGGAAGAGGUGAGUGGAACUCCUAGUGUAGAGGUGGAAUUCGUAGAUAUUAGGAAGAACACCAGUGGCGAAGGCGGCUCACUGGUCCGGUACUGACGCUGAGGUGCGAAAGCUAGGGUAGCAAACGGG
rnacentral:rRNA from 1 species